AGCACCUAGGAAAACCUGCUGCCUGAGAGGAGUUACUCAUCAGAGCGAGGGAAAAGAGAUGGAAAGACAAAUACCGUCUCUUGUGACUAACGCAGUGUGUGACUCAAAGCGUUAAGCAAUGGUGCUGACGGGAUAGACUCUUUCUAUCGAGUUUAGCCUGCGAGAUGUUAAAUUGUACCCUCACACCACUAAAACGUGAAGUAGUUCCCCUGAAGCCAAAUUCUUCUAGCUCUACGUCCAAAGCAGCUGAAGCUGGAAGUUAGUCCACAGCACAGAGGUUUUUCGUCAAAAGGUCACUGACUUGGAGUGCAGGAUAAAUACCUUUUCUUCCUGCAGUGGAGACAGUUUGGAAGUCCUGUCAUGUUGUAAGGAAUUGAAAACAAGAUCCAAAGAAACAGAGGGAUGCAGGAGAAGAGUGUAUGCAAGGCUGUAAGGAGGAAUUGCAUUUCUCAAUGUCACAUGAGGAAAAGAAACAAAUAUGCAGAAACAGCAACUGGCCCUCUAAACUUUGAAGAUACAUUUGUGUUUCCAAAGCUGAAGUAAUUUCCCUGCCAGAAAUCAAUGUGACAUAAAGUCAGAACUCCUAUAUUUGUGACCUUUGUACGGUAUUGGCCUUGUUAAAGAUACGGUUCAAUAUAUUAUGGCAAAAAUGGGAACGGAGGUGGGAAAAGAGAUCACCAAACAGGCCAGGGGUUUGUCUCUUGAGGUAAAGCAGAAUUUUAGACACAAAGCCUAACGUCUGCUGUUUGUCUCUUGAGCCUUGUGUUCUAUAUGUUGCUAACUAGCAGGAAAUAUUUAAACACAAGUAUUUACUGCUUUUGACUGAUUUUGAAGUAUUGUAUCUAUUUUUGCUUUGUUUGGCAUGUGUUGAUUCACUGUCUCUGCUUUGCUGUACCUUAACACCUAUGCUGUGCGCAUGAACAGGAUCCUUGCUGAAAAACAAUCCCAAAACAUUGAUCUUUAAGAACCUUUGAGAUGAGAAAUUGGUAUUUUCAACAAUCACUUGAAGGCAU
rnacentral:lncRNA from 1 species